UACGUAGGGUGCAAGCGUUAAUCGGAAUUACUGGGCGUAAAGCGUGCGCAGGCGGUUUUGUAAGUCUGUCGUGAAAUCCCCGGGCUCAACCUGGGAAUUGCGAUGGAGACUGCAAGGCUAGAAUCUGGCAGAGGGGGGGUAGAAUUCCACGUGUAGCAGUGAAAUGCGUAGAGAUGUGGAGGAACACCGAUGGCGAAGGCAGCCUCCUGGGCCAGCACUGACGCUCAUGCACGAAAAGCGUGGGGGAGCAAAACAGG
rnacentral:rRNA from 1 species